GAUGGACUCCCAAGGCAUGGCUGCAAUGGUUGUUUGAAAUAAGAAACAGAUACCCUCUUGGUGUCGUUCAUCUCUGAUCACUGGGAAUUGGAGCUUGAAUGAAGGUUAAAGAAAACUCCUACACAGAACUGGGAAUGGUUUGUCUCUUAAGAGGGUUGGACCAAAGGGCUGCUAGGAACACGAAUGUGGAAAAAAAAAAGGAAAGCUUGUGUCAAGAAGGUGUUUCUGGACACUGCCAUGCUGUUUCUGGCAAUACAGGACUCAUUUUUAGUAACAAAGCCCAGACUAUUAGCCCUGCCAUUUUUCCACUGCUGGAGGAAACCGUGGACUCUUGCUGAGCUGUAUGAAAAAUCCAAUAUAUAAUCCACUGACAGCCAGCAAGCGCCAGAGUCCGAGAAGUCAUCUUGCAAAGAGGGAUAUGCAAUUUUGUAUUUCCAUCAAGCGUGCUAGAAUAAUAAGUCAGCUGCCACAAGCUUUGGAAAACUGGCUGGAAUUGGACCUCUACAGCAAAUUCUCAAAAUUUGCCUCUCGGACACGGAGUAAUUUGUCUUCCCUUCAGUGCCAUCAGGAAAAUAGAUUCUUUGCCCAGAAGUGACUCAGAGGAACACGGAGACACAGCCGACACUUGUAAGAAGUGGUUUUAAUAAGAGGAGACAAGUCAUCAUCCCAGCUGUGCAAUCCCUGCUGAAGUCAAGGGGUCAGAAAAGAAAGGCCCCAUUUGUCCUGAGGAGCAGCACACACAUGUAUACCGAAGGAGGAUAGUGAUGUAUUUAGACUAGAAGUUCCCCAGACCUAAACGAGACAUUUGUUUGCUUAACUUCAUUGUUCUUCCCUUCUCUCAUCACUUGUCCUCAGCUGGCUGCAGCAAUUCCUGUGAAGCUCUGCAGAGGCAUCCACCUUAAAACCAGGCUAAAGAAAGUUCCUGCUCCCCAAAACCUCUCACACUCCCAGCUACUGGCAGAAAGCCUCUCUGAGCUGCCCUGGGCAAGCUGGCCACAGCCAGGGGGGUGACAGAGCACAGGGUGGCACCGAAGGUAGGAGGACUCAGACACUGUUGUCUCUAUCUGCCUUAUUGUGAAGAGACUUCUUAAUGUGACUAAUAGCUCUUGGCAUUGAGCUGCAGCUCCUGAAGUGCAGAGCUGGCAUGUCCAUGCGCUAAUGUUUAAAGUAAUGUGUCAGAAAAGUUUUAUAGUAGCAGCACAGUAUUGUUGGGGGAGAAGAAGCUGUUUAAAUAAAG
rnacentral:lncRNA from 1 species